GACGAACGCUGGCGGCGUGCUUAACACAUGCAAGUCGAACGGAAAGGCCCUGCUUUUGUGGGGUGCUCGAGUGGCGAACGGGUGAGUAACACGUGAGUAACCUGCCCUUGACUUUGGGAUAACUUCAGGAAACUGGGGCUAAUACCGGAUAGGAGCUCCUGCUGCAUGGUGGGGGUUGGAAAGUUUCGGCGGUUGGGGAUGGACUCGCGGCUUAUCAGGUUGUUGGUGGGGUAGUGGCUUAGCAAGGCUUGGACGGGUAGCCGGCCUGAGAGGGUGACCGGCCACAUUGGGACUGAGAUACGGCCCGGACUCCUACGGGAGGCAGCAGUGGGGAAUAUUGCACAAUGGGCGGAAGCCUGAUGCAGCAACGCCGCGUGCGGGAUGACGGCCUUCGGUUUGUAAACCGCUUUCGCCUGUGACGAAGCGUGAGUGACGGUAAUGGGUAAAGAAGCACCGGCUAACUACGUG
rnacentral:rRNA from 1 species